ACAACUAAUUCGCACAAUGCGAAUUCCACACACAAGCCACAAAGAAGCCAUCUACCGCGGUCAACAACACCGACCUAUCUGAACAGAACCACGCGCUGUCUGUGUGGUUUCACUGUUACAAGUUUCUUGGCGACAUGGGGGAAAGUUCCUCACAUACCAACGGAAAAUGGGCUUCACAUACAUGCUGCUGUCUCAUAAUAUGGCGAAGACGAGUCACUUGAAGGCCUAACAGCUCUUAUGAGGAGCAGUCUUGCCAUAGAAGACUGAAAGAAUGAGCUGUAGAAACAACAGGGUGCCUGCUGCAGUAUGACGAGGACGCCCUGAUCAUAGAAGGUCCAGUGUCUUGGCAGGGUGAAAUGGCACUGAUAUCGGUAUGUGGUGAUAUCAGUUAAAAUUAAUGAAUUAAUUCUCAUAUCUGAAUAAUGUGAACACUGGAUUUACCACACACUCACACACACCCUAGUCCUAGAUUAUACAACCAAGGUUACUUUUACCACAGCUCUGGCACUGCAUCAAAUUUCUUUUCUUUUUUAUAGAACUGGACAGGUCAUUUAUUCGUUCCCCUUGUUUUUUGCAGUGUCCUGCUGGAUGCUGUGUCCUGCAAUCCUGUGUGCUGUGCUACAGACGCGUGUGGAGGUCAACCCGAAAUGGGCACAGUAGCGUGAAAGAGGAUCCUGGCAGGGAGACGGUAGUGUCCUGCAGGAUGGUGAUGGGCAAUCUUACAAGAGACCACAGAAAACUGAUAUAGUCUCCCAGAAGUGAGACUGAGUGCCUGUUGCAGUAUGACGAGGAAGCAGUGACCAGAGACCUUCAGUAGACCCUGCUGGCAUGAUUGGCGGCUGAAGAACAUAAUCAACAGCAAUGUUUAUAAUAUUGUACAUACCUGUAUAGUCUGCACUAAAAUGCUGUACCUGUACUAUUUUUCCUCUUACUUUCAUAUUUACUAUGAAUUGACAACUUUUACUCAAAUCCAUUUUUGUAUGUGCCCUGACUAAAACUAUCCUUAAACCUAACCUGUCAGAGGUGUAAUAACAACCUGCUCUUAGCAAUGUGGCAGCAGUCUACUUGGAUGCAGCGGGGAACAUAGAACCCUUUUUUUGAAAAAGCAUUGUAUGUUUCUGAGUUUUAUGAAUU